GUAACAUUUGACACUAUCACACUGUUUGUAAAUGUUUUAAGACUCUUAAUCUGAUAUCUCCGGUUAUAGCAGUAUUCUAAAUAUGAUAAUGCAUUUAAUAAUAAUUGUUAAAUGAAUUUACCUCAGUGGCUCCUGAAAACAAUCAUUUGGCUGCCCAACUGAAAUCUGAGUUACAGGCAUAAGUUUGAAAGAAAAUCCAACCCAUUCAAAUGGAAUUGAGCAACUAAGCUUGGAAAGUGUAACUUUUAAGAAGUGAUGGGUAUUGUAUGUACAUUUAUCAGAACUAGGGAAGGGGAACACCAAGAUGGAGAGACAAAAGGUAACAGGCAAACCAAGCAACAGCAAUACUUACAAGACAGUAUGCUGUAAACCAACAGUACAAUUCAGGAGAGGAUAGGGAGGGAACUGGGAAGACGGGAAGGUUUGAGAAAAAUGACAGAGGAGGUAAAGGGUUUGGUAAGAAAUGUACUCAUUGCCUUAUGUAUGCAACUGUGACCCCUCUGUACAUUGCUUUGACAAUAAAAAAAAAAAGAGAAGUGAUUGGGCCCCAAGCUAGGUAAAAUUCUGCAAACUGAAAUGCACAAUCAUACUCCUUCCCUCCCAUGGACAUGAUGGGGUAAGAAUAAAUGGCCUUGAUUUUAGUUCCAAUUUUGUGAUCUAAAUAUAGCACCUGAAUCAUAACUGAUUAGUAUAAACUGCUGUGUCUAUUUGGUAUUCCACUAUUUCAUAAGCGUUUAUUUCGUUUAGUGCUAUACUUACUCAUUUUUAUAUAAAAUUUCCCACGGUUACAAGAGGUCCUGGACAGCACAGCACUUGAAGUAGGCAAGAUUCUUUCUCUCUAGUUGCUAGCUCUGCUCCUCUGCCAGUCUAUCCCUUUAAAACCACGUGGUAUCAACCUGGUCUCUGAAAUGUAGAGUUCCCCUUGAGUAUCCUGCCUGGGCUUUGCUCAGAACCUAACUCUUAUCAGACUUUUUCCUUCCCC